rnacentral:RNase_P_RNA from 1 species
ACACAAGAGCAGGUGGCCGCUGCGCCUUUUUGGCGGAGAGGAAAGUCCGAGCUCCAUAGGGCAAAGGUGCUGGAUAACGUCCAGUGGGGGCGACCCCAAGGAAAGUGCCACAGAAAAUAGUCUGCGAUCCCAGAUCUUCGGAACUCGGGUCGCGAGGGUGAAAACGUGCGGUAAGAGCGCACGGUCACGGCAGGUGACUGUCGUGGCGGCAAACCCCACCUGGAGCAAGACCAAAUAGGGAAGCGUCAUGUUAAAGCAUGACACGGGCGGCCCGUCCGCGCUUCCGGGUCAGGUCGCUGGAGGAGCGUGGUAACACGAUUCGUAGAGGAAUGGUCACCGCCUGUUUGAUGGAGACAUCAUGCAGGAACAGAACUCGGCUUACGCGUUUGUGUCUAC